AGUGAACGCUGGCGGUAGGCCUAACACAUGCAAGUCGAACGGCAGCACAGUAAGAGCUUGCUCUUACGGGUGGCGAGUGGCGGACGGGUGAGGAAUACAUCGGAAUCUACUUUUUCGUGGGGGAUAACGUAGGUAAACUUACGCUAAUACCGCAUACGACCUACGGGUGAAAGCAGGGGAUCUUCGGACCUUGCGCGAUUGAAUGAGCCGAUGUCGGAUUAGCUAGUUGGCGGGGUAAAGGCCCACCAAGGCGACGAUCCGUAGCUGGUCUGAGAGGAUGAUCAGCCACACUGGAACUGAGACACGGUCCAGACUCCUAAGGGAGGCAGCAGUGGGGAAUAUUGGACAAUGGGCGCAAGCCUGAUCCAGCCAUACCGCGUGGGUGAAGAAGGCCUUCGGGUUGUAAAGCCCUUUUGUUGGGAAAGAAAAGCAGCAGGUUAAUACCCCGCUGUUCUGACGGUACCCAAAGAAUAAGCACCGGCUAACUUCGUG
rnacentral:rRNA from 1 species